rnacentral:rRNA from 1 species
UACGAAGGGGGCGAGCGUUGUUCGGAAUUACUGGGCGUAAAGGGCGCGCAGGCGGCCUUAGAAGUCAGAUGUGAAAGCCCCGGGCUCAACCUGGGAAUGGCAUUUGAUACUCUGAGGCUGGAGUACGGGAGAGGAGAGUGGAAUUCCCAGUGUAGAGGUGAAAUUCGUAGAUAUUGGGAAGAACACCGGUGGCGAAGGCGGCUCUCUGGACCGUAAC